AUUCCAUCUUCCACAACCUUCAGUAAUUCGAUCACUUCUAGUAUGGACUUACGGCUUGCUUUGAGCUUCAUGCAUGUCUACGCCACCGGCCAGCUUGGGAGAGGGGCAUUGUCCUAAUUGAAAGUUUGGGGAGACAUUAUCAAUUGAAUUGUAGUUUGAGAGGAGCGCUGUGUGCCCAAAUUUCAACACUCCUGUGAUCUGGCACCAUUGUAGAUCGGAAUGUCACCGAAAGCAAGAUCCUUUGUAUUCUCAAGGCUCACGAUACAUUUUUAAUUGUUAUUAUUUUGGGCUUGUGCUUUGUUUGGAGUUCUAUAAAAUGUUGAUUUACUUUUGAGUUUUUUGUUUUUUCUGUUUAUUUAUGCUUUGAUUGCAUUUCGAGAAAAUGCGGGUUUGUUGUUUCUCAUAGAAUGAUUUGUACAUUUUGAUGUAUAAAAUUUUCAAAAUGCUUGUAGUAU